rfam:Archangium gephyra strain DSM 2261, complete genome.
GCCGGUGUAGCUCAGCUGGUAGAGCACCUGAUUUGUAAUCAGUAGGUCGCGGGUUCAAAUCCCGCCGCCGGCC